rnacentral:ncRNA from 1 species
CACUGAUAAUGGCAAACUUAUUGAAAAAUAAGGACGCAAAGUUAUGGGUCUAAGGCUCCACAUGAAGGAGCUAUGAUUGCCAGACCGCCAAA